rnacentral:rRNA from 1 species
CAGUAGCCGCGGUAAUACAGAGGGUGCGAGCGUUAAUCAGAUUUACUGGGCGUAAAGCGUGCGUAGGCGGCUUCUUAAGUCGGAUGUGAAAUCCCUGAGCUUAACUUAGGAAUUGCAUUCGAUACUGGGAAGCUAGAGUAUGGGAGAGGAUGGUAGAAUUCCAGGUGUAGCGGUGAAAUGCGUAGAGAUCUGGAGGAAUACCGAUGGCGAAGGCAGCCAUCUGGCCUAAUACUGACGCUGAGGUACGAAAGCAUGGGGAGCAAACAGGAUUAGAUACCCCCGUAGUCCCUGUCUCUUAUAC